rnacentral:rRNA from 1 species
CAGCAGCCACGGUAAUGCGUAGGGUGCAAGCGUUAAUCGGAAUUAUUGGGCGUAAAGCGAGUGCAGACGGUUACUUAAGCCAGAUGUGAAAUCCCCAAGCUUAACUUGGGACGUGCAUUUGAAGCUGGGUGACUAGAGUGUGUCAGAGGGAGGUAGAAUUCCACAUGUAGCGGUGGAAUGCGUAGAGACGUGGAGGAAUACCGAUGGCGAAGGCAGCCUCCUGGGAUAACACUGACGUUGAGGCUCGAAAGCGUGGGGCGCGAACGGGAUUAGAUACCCCCGUAGUCCCUGUCUCUUAUAC